UACGUAGGGUGCGAGCGUUGUCCGGAAUUAUUGGGCGUAAAGAGCUCGUAGGCGGCUCAGUAAGUCAGGUGUGAAACCUCCAGGCUCAACCUGGAGACGCCACCUGAUACUGCUGUGGCUUGAGUCCGGUAGGGGAGCGUGGAAUUCCUGGUGUAGCGGUGAAAUGCGCAGAUAUCAGGAGGAACACCAGCGGCGAAGGCGGCGCUCUGGGCCGGAACUGACGCUGAGGAGCGAAAGCGUGGGUAGCAAACAGG
rnacentral:rRNA from 1 species